UAAGACGUAGGGCGCGAGCGUUGUCCGGAUUUAUUGGGCGUAAAGGGCUCGUAGGCGGUUGAUUGCGUCCGCCGUGAAAGGCCUCGGCUUAACCGGGGUUUUGCGGUGGAUACGGGUCGACUUGAGGCAAUUAGGGGAGAUCGGAAUUCUACGUGUAGCGGUGAAAUGCGCAGAUAUGUGGAGGAACACCGGUGGCGAAGGCGGAUCUCUGGGAUUGUUCUGACGCUGAGGAGCGAAAGCAUGGGGAGCGAACAGGAUUAGAUACCCUGGUAGUCCAUGCUGUAAACGGUGGGCGCUAGGUGUGGGGUCACGUUGGUUGAUUCCGUGCCGUAGCUAACGCAUUAAGCGCCCCGCCUGGGGAGUACGGCCGCAAGGCUA
rnacentral:rRNA from 1 species